CCCCAAAAUUAUAUAUUUUAAUAAAAGCAAAUAAGGUCCUUUUUCAGAACUGUGUUUCUUUUCUCAACCAAUAGCAAAUAUAUAAUCAUCGUAUUUUCCUUGUUUUCCUUGCCUGAAAAUAAACUCAAACAAAAUGACUAUCCUAAUCUAAAUUGUAAUAUAUCUGUUGCUACUCUUCUGGAACUUCCUCUCCCACGGUCUACCUCUGAGCAAUCCUUGCAUGGUUUUGACUUUGCAUGUUUACUUUAGCAACUUCCAGCUGUCGUGCUGUGCCAGUUAGCCUAUGUUGCCUUUCCGCUCUACAGUCACUGUUUAUCGCAGCUCGGAGGUAGGGAAUCAGAACUGCUUGGAGUUUCUCAAGGUGAUCGUGACGUUGAACUUUCUCAACAGAGGGUGCUAGAGGGACACUGAAGGAAGAAAAGACUCUCCCCUGUUCCCUGCUGUUUCCAGGGAUGCUCUCAAGCCUCUUACCAUGCCAGCUUCCAUCUGCAAGCCCACACACCUGACCCACCUCCCAGCUCCGCCCUGCAGGAUUGCCGUGGGGCUGGGCUCCCGCUCGCUGAGCACACCCAUGUGCCUGGCCACCACGCGCCAUUCACGUCACAGUCACCCAGUGCUCUGGUGCCCCUUCAGCAGCCCAGGUCCAUGUUGCAGCCAUCACCUGCAGGUCACUUAUGCACUGCCUGAAUUCUGGAGGGUCGGUUUCUGCAGAUCAGCUCUGGUGCAUGCCAUGCCGCCCAUGAACUUCCCUGGCAUCUAGUGGGUUCCAGCUACAGCCUUGGGAGGGACCCUGUUUGAAGUUUAUUCUUCUCUCGUUACCCUCUCCCACCCCUGGGAUUACCAUGUAGAGUUUUUUUUUAUAUCCUAUAGUUAUCCUAUAGUUUAUCCUAUAUAUCCUAUAUCCUAUAGUUAAUCUUUUAUCGAAGUCUAAUAAUGCUUCAUUAAAAAAAAUAUGACGUGAUGUCUGCCUCGUGAUUGGCCCCAUUGAUGCUUGCACAUUUUGGCCUACAAUAAAGGUAAAUAUAACUUAAAACUUGUAAUAUUCGAGCUUCCACUGGUAUUGAGCCAGAUACCAUCUAAAGUUUCAAAUAAAAAAAUGACAUUUUAGAAAUAAAACUUUCCAAA